UGCAUUAUUUGCCAUGUGCGUCAUCCCGGAGUUGGUGAUUACCAAAGACGAACACACGGCGCUUGGCCCAAAAAUCAACGAUAUCGAUAAUGGGCCCUGUUACGACAUCGAGAAAAGUCACACUUGGAAAUCACUCGGAAGAACACGCUCGGCGCAGGUACGACUCAAACACUUUCUAAGUCGGUACUAACCGUAUCGAGAAUGUUACUCGAAGAAGGUGAUAUGGAGGAGAGGGGCUACACCUGUUGGAGCUGCGAAGUCUACUGCGAUUUAACAGUCAUGACGAAGGAAAUUAAAUGAGGGGGCACGAGCAGGACCUGCAUGACAGAUGGGUGUAGUCAAAUAGGUGCUUAAAUUAGUUCCAGUACACUGUAUGAGCUGCUUUACAGAGUUACGUAAUUCUUCUCAAAAAUUAUUUUAGUAAUUAUUUGCAUAACAAGUGUUUACGAAUGAGUACUCGUGUUAAUGAGUUUCCUUCGGGCGUUUUUUUUUGCUGAAAAUCUGUGACAUUCCUGACUUGGUGGAAGCGCCAAAAUGGGUUGUGGCGAGCGGAAGCGUGUCCAAAGGAACGGAAGUACGACCGUAAAGACGGAAGUAACUAUACUGUGAUUAAUGUAGUGAAUAGUAUAGACACUAUAUUUGUAAUAUUCUAUGGUUAUACAAAGACAAUUUGGAAACUUACUUAAUUAUAUAAGACUACUAUUACCACAAAACUGUCACAACCUGGAGUUACUUUUAAGUCAUAACAAACUUUGAGGUGCAAAGUUUUUGAUUAAAUAUCUGUUUAAAAAUUUAUUGUGUUUGGGACCUUCUUUCUCUAUGUAAAUCAGUAUUUGUUUGUACAAAUAGAAACACUGUGAAAGUAUAAAUAUUUUUUGAGCAUAA